rnacentral:rRNA from 1 species
UACGUAGGGGGCAAGCGUUGUCCGGAAUUAUUGGGCGUAAAGAGCUCGUAGGCGGUUCCGUAAGUCGUGAAGUCAAAUCUCUGGGCUCAACCCAGAAUCGCUUCCGAUACUGCGGUGACUGGAGUCCGGUAGGGGAGUGUGGAAUUCCUGGUGUAGCGGUGAAAUGCGCAGAUAUCAGGAGGAACACCAACAGCGAAGGCAGCACUCUGGGCCGGUACUGACGCUGAGGAGCGAAAGCAUGGGGAGCGAACAGG